rnacentral:rRNA from 1 species
GAUGAACGCUAGCGACAGGCCUAACACAUGCAAGUCGAGGGGCAUCGGGGAGCGAAGCUUGCUUUGCUCCGCCGGCGACCGGCGCACGGGUGAGUAACGCGUAUGCAACCUGCCCGUUUCAGCGGGAUAACCCGGAGAAAUCCGGCCUAAUACCGCAUGUGGCCGAGGGAAGGCAUCUUCUUUCGGCCAAAGGAGGCGACUCCGGAGACGGAUGGGCAUGCGUGACAUUAGCUUGUUGGCGGGGUAACGGCCCACCAAGGCGACGAUGUCUAGGGGUUCUGAGAGGAAGGUCCCCCACACUGGUACUGAGACACGGACCAGACUCCUACGGGAGGCAGCAGUGAGGAAUAUUGGUCAAUGGGCGAGAGCCUGAACCAGCCAAGUCGCGUGAAGGAUGACGGCCCUACGGGUUGUAAACUUCUUUUGUCAGGGAGCAAUUGGGUCCACGCGUGGGCUUAGCGAGAGUACCUGAAGAAAAAGCAUCGGCUAACUCCGUGCCAGCAGCCGCGGUAAUACGGAGGAUGCGAGCGUUAUCCGGAUUUAUUGGGUUUAAAGGGUGCGUAGGCGGAAUAUCAAGUCAGCGGUAAAAAUUCGGGGCUCAACCCCGUCGUGCCGUUGAAACUGAUGUUCUUGAGUGGGCGAGAAGUAUGCGGAAUGCGUGGUGUAGCGGUGAAAUGCAUAGAUAUCACGCAGAACUCCGAUUGCGAAGGCAGCAUACCGGCGCCCAACUGACGCUGAAGCACGAAAGCGUGGGUAUCGAACAGGAUUAGAUACCCUGGUAGUCCACGCAGUAAACGAUGAAUGCUAAUUGUCCGGAGGGAUUGACCUCUGGGUGAUACAGCGAAAGCGUUAAGCAUUCCACCUGGGGAGUACGCCGGCAACGGUGAAACUCAAAGGAAUUGACGGGGGCCCGCACAAGCGGAGGAACAUGUGGUUUAAUUCGAUGAUACGCGAGGAACCUUACCCGGGCUCAAACGCAGGAGGAAUACAUUUGAAAGGGUGUAGCUCUACGGAGUCUUCUGCGAGGUGCUGCAUGGUUGUCGUCAGCUCGUGCCGUGAGGUGUCGGCUUAAGUGCCAUAACGAGCGCAACCCCUAUCGACAGUUGCCAACAGGUGAAGCUGGGAACUCUGUCGAGACUGCCGGCGCAAGCUGAGAGGAAGGCGGGGAUGACGUCAAAUCAGCACGGCCCUUACGUCCGGGGCGACACACGUGUUACAAUGGCGGCCACAGCGGGAAGCCAGGCGGCGACGCCGAGCGGAACCCGAAAAGCCGUCUCAGUUCGGAUUGGAGUCUGCAACUCGACUCCAUGAAGUUGGAUUCGCUAGUAAUCGCGCAUCAGCCAUGGCGCGGUGAAUACGUUCCCGGGCCUUGUACACACCGCCCGUCAAGCCAUGGAAGCCGGGGGUGCCUGAAGUGCGUGACCGCAAGGAGCGCCCUAAGGUAAAACCGGUGACUGGGGCU